rfam:Schistosoma haematobium scaffold9_49, whole genome shotgun sequence.
AGCUUUCUGAAUCCAUGCCGAUAUUUCGUCAAAUGCUAGCUCGUCAGAGCUGACGAGACUCCAAAGCUAAGUGAGACA